rnacentral:rRNA from 1 species
GAUGAACGCUGGCGGCGUGCCUAACACAUGCAAGUCGAACGGAGUGCAGCCUUUAAGACCUUCGGGUCAAAGAGGGGAAGCCUGAGUGUCGGACGGGUGUGUAACACGUGUGCAACUUGGCUCACUUAGGGGGAUAACAGAUAGUACUUUCUGCUAAUAUCGCCUACGCACACCCUUCCGCAUGGCCGAGGGUGAAGAGAGAUACGCUAUGAGAUGGACCCGCGUCUGAUUAGCCAGUUGGAAGGGUAAGAGCCUACCAGAGCGUCGAUCAGUAGCCGAUCAGUGAGGAUGAGCGGCGACACUGGGACUAGGCAACAGCCGGAACUCCUACGGGAGGCAGCAGUGCGGGAUAUUGCACAAUGGGGUGAGCCCUGAUGCACCGACGCCGCGAGAGUGAUGAAGUAUUGCGGUAUGUAAAGCUCUAUCAGCAGGGAAGAUAAUGACAGUACCUGAAUAAGAAGCCACGGCUAACUACGUG